rnacentral:rRNA from 1 species
UUAAGUCAGGCAACAAGCGAGACCCCUGCUUUUAGUUGCUACUUUUAUUCUUCGGAGUAGAAGGGCUAAUUAGAAGGACUGCCGCCGCUAAGGCGGAGGAAGGAGGGGGCUACGGCAGGUCAGUAUGCCCCGAAUCCCCUGGGCAACACGCGGGCUACAAUGGCUAGGACAAUGGGUUCCAACACUGAAAGGUGAAGGUAAUCUCCUAAACCUAGUCGUAGUUCGGAUCGAGGGCUGUAACCCGCCCUCGUGAAGCUGGAAUGCGUAGUAAUCGCGUGUCAUAGUCGCGCGGUGAAUACGUCCCUGCUCCUUGCACA